UACGAAGGGGGCUAGCGUUGCUCGGAAUCACUGGGCGUAAAGCGCACGUAGGCGGAUUGCUAAGUCAGGGGUGAAAUCCUGGAGCUCAACUCCAGAACUGCCUUUGAUACUGGCGAUCUUGAGUCCGGGAGAGGUGAGUGGAACUGCGAGUGUAGAGGUGAAAUUCGUAGAUAUUCGGAAGAACACCAGUGGCGAAGGCGACUGACUGGACAAGUAUUGACGCUGAGGUGCGAAAGCGUGGGGAGCAAACAGG
rnacentral:rRNA from 1 species